rnacentral:lncRNA from 1 species
CGUCACCACAGCUUCAGGCCUGGGGGGCUUCGGCCACUGAGAUGAGGGGUUCAGGCCAGGUUUCAGAGUCCCACCAGGCCUCCCUCUUGCAACAGAAGGAAAGUCCACACUGAGGAGGAUCAUGGCCUGCUACGGUCGAAGUGCAAGGCACGCGUCAGAAGCAGUGGCUCCUUCUGCAGCAGGACUCACCUACUGACUCAGAAGGACGUCCUCCAGGGACAGCCAGCUCCUCCUCUGAGCGCACAGCCCAUGUCCUCUGCUGUGCGCUCCUCGCGCGAACCGACCCCACCUCGGACCGGAAGCCACCUUGGGCUGGAGGAUGCCAUGAAGUCUCUCUGGUUCAACGUGCAUGCACCGUCUCACUUAACCUGGGUUACUCUGUAUGAGUUGCACAGAAAAGGCCAACAUGGACAUCUGAGGACAGACAGCACAGGAGUACAGGAACUAAUGCAAAUUGCAUGUGAAUGACAUCCCCAUGCAGGCCACUACUGACCACACUUACCCUCCCAUUUCACACACCUGCUUGGGACUAUCCUUCCUGGAGGCCACUGGAACUUCUGGAGCCACCUGCAGCACUUCUGAUGCAUUUCCUAGAAGCUUUUGCACCUGCAAGAGAAACGAGGUUGAAGCAGUGUUGCAGUGUUGGUAUUGCUGUGGUGUGACUUUGUUCUAGUUUAGGUUUAACAAAGUUAAACAAUAUACAUCCAGAUCCACGUUGAUAUGCUGGACAUAAGAUUGGGUUGUGUUUAGCUCUGAGUCACGCCCUGAAGAAACCCCUGCGAGGCAUCCUGUUUGCCUCUGUGAGUGGAGCGAGGGAGCCAGCUCCCUGAAUCAGCCCAUCUCCGAGGUGGCUCCGAACAUUGUUGCUGGAAGCUUAGAGUCCAGCCUUAUUCUCUAGUCCUUCCAACAAUUAAACCAGCUGAAUGUGGAUUCUCUUUGCAACUGAGAACCUAACUGACAGAGCUGGCCGCAUGUUCCUGGUCAUUGUAGAUCUUUGGGGAUGCCCAGGUGUGCAGAGGUAACUCCUGGUUGGUGACCCAUGAGGACACUUCCUAUGCAAACAUCAAGGAUGUCUACUUCGUGCCAUGUCGUGAAUUCUCAGGCACAGGCUUCCUGAGCAUCUACCAUGCGUCAAGCACUCUGCAAGGCACCAAAGGCACACAGGUAAUUAAGACAUGGUGCUGGCUCCUGGGAACUCACCAUCCAUGAGGCUCACAGAGGCAUCAUUUGACCAUUUUAGCACAAGAUGGUAAGUGUGAUGCUUGCGG